CCUACGGGCGGCAGCAGUGAGGAAUAUUGGUCAAUGGGCGAAAGCCUGACGCAGCGACGCCGCGUGAGGGAUGAAGGUCUUCGGAUCGUAAACCUCUGUCAGCAGGGAAGAACGGUCACUGUGCUAAUCAGCAGUGAAUUGACGGUACCUGCAAAGGAAGCACCGGCUAACUCCGUGCCAGCAGCCGCGGUAAACGGAGGGGGCGGGCGUUAAUCGGAAUUAAUGGGCGUAAAGCCCUAGGAGGCUGGAUGUCAAGGCAAGGGGGAAAUCCCCGCGCUCAACGUGGGGACUGCCUUUGAAACUGGCAAACUGGAGUGUGUGAGAGGAUAGUGGAAUUCCAGGUGUAGGGGUGAAAUCCGUAGAUAUCUGGAGGAACAUCAGUGGCGAAGGCGACUAUCUGGCACAUAACUGACGCUGAGGAGCGAAAGCGUGGGUAGCAAACAGGAUUAGAUACCCGGGUAGUC
rnacentral:rRNA from 1 species